UACAGAGGUGGCAAGCGUUGUUCGGAAUUACUGGGCGUAAAGGGCGCGUAGGCGGCCUUCUAAGUCAGACGUGAAAUCCCCAGGCUUAACUUGGGAACUGCGUCUGAUACUGGGAGGCUUGAGUGCGGGAGAGGGAUGUGGAAUUCCAGGUGUAGCGGUGAAAUGCGUAGAUAUCUGGAGGAACACCGGUGGCGAAGGCGGCAUCCUGGAUCGACACUGACGCUGAGGCGCGAAAGCUAGGGGAGCAAACGGG
rnacentral:rRNA from 1 species